GCCCUUGUAGCUCAAUGGGACAGAGCGCCUGCAUUAUUCGUGGGUGUAUGCCGGUUCGACUCCGGCCAAGGGUGCA
rnacentral:tRNA from 1 species